rnacentral:rRNA from 1 species
AGCGAACGCUGGCGGCAGGCUUAACACAUGCAAGUCGAGCGGGCCCUUCGGGGUCAGCGGCGGACGGGUGAGUAACGCGUGGGAACGUGCCUUCUGGUCUGGAAUAACCCUGGGAAACUAGGGCUAAUACCGGAUACGCCCUUUUGGGGAAAGGUUUACUGCCGGAAGAUCGGCCCGCGUCUGAUUAGCUAGUUGGUGGGGUAACGGCCUACCAAGGCGACGAUCAGUAGCUGGUCUGAGAGGAUGAUCAGCCACACUGGGACUGAGACACGGCCCAGACUCCUACGGGAAGCAGCAGUGGGGAAUAUUGGACCAUGGGCGCAAGCCUGAUCCAGCCAUGCCGCGUGAGUGAUGAAGGCCUUAGGGUUGUAAAGCUCUUUUAACCGGGACGAUAAUGACGGUACCGGAGGAAUAAGCCACGGCUAACUUCGUG